AUUGAACGCUGGCGGCAUGCCUUACACAUGCAAGUCGAACGGUAACAGGUCUUCGGAUGCUGACGAGUGGCGAACGGGUGAGUAAUGCUUAGGAAUCUGCCUAUUAGUGGGGGACAACAUUCCGAAAGGAAUGCUAAUACCGCAUACGUCCUACGGGAGAAAGCAGGGGACCUUCGGGCCUUGCGCUAAUAGAUGAGCCUAAGUCGGAUUAGCUAGUUGGUGGGGUAAAGGCCUACCAAGGCGACGAUCUGUAGCGGGUCUGAGAGGAUGAUCCGCCACACUGGGACUGAGACACGGCCCAGACUCCUACGGGAGGCAGCAGUGGGGAAUAUUGGACAAUGGGCGGAAGCCUGAUCCAGCCAUGCCGCGUGUGUGAAGAAGGCCUUUUGGUUGUAAAGCACUUUAAGCGAGGAGGAGGCUACUUAGAUUAAUACUCUAGGAUAGUGGACGUUACUCGCAGAAUAAGCACCGGCUAACUCUGUGCCAGCCGCCGCCGUAAAAC
rnacentral:rRNA from 1 species